CAGGCUGAGGGCAUGCGGCCUCGGGGACUGGCCAGAUACAGGAUCCUAGGGAAUUUGGACGAAUGCAACCAUUCACCAAGAGAUCAGCUUUACUCCUUCUAUUUCAGAUCUGUAGAUCAACAUGGCUGUUCCUUCCGGGGCCAGUCAGAGUGGCCUGUUACAUAUGAACUCAACAGGUGCGCUCAGAAGGCCAGGGUGUAAAUGCCAUCUACGUCGUGAAUAAAAAGAAGUGGACAAAGUGGAUUUCAUGGAAGAACUGAGCCACCAUACUGCAUUCAUUGCUGUAUUCAAGAAACAUUUGUUGGAUGCCAGUCUGUUUAGAGCUCGUCACGGAGAAACUC